GACGAACGCUGGCGGCGUGCUUAACACAUGCAAGUCGAGCGGUAAGGCCCCCUUUGUGGGUACACGAGCGGCGAACGGGUGAGCAACACGUGGGUAACCUGCCCUUAGCUCUGGGAUAAGCCUGGGAAACCGGGUCUAAUACCGGAUAUGACCUCAUGAUGCAUGUUGUGGGGUGGAAAGUUUUGGCGGCUAGGGAUGGGCCCGCGGCCUAUCAGCUUGUUGGUGAGGUAACGGCUCACCAAGCCUAAGACGGGUAGCUGGCCUUAGCGGGUGGUCA
rnacentral:rRNA from 1 species